rnacentral:rRNA from 1 species
UAACUUCGUGCCAGCAGCGCGGGUAAUACGAAGGGACCUAGCGUAGUUCGGGAAUACUGGGCUUAAAGAGUUCGUAGGUGGUGAAAAAGUUGGUGGUGAAAUCCCAGAGCUUAACUCUGGAACUGCCAUCAAAACUUUUCAGCUAGAGUAUGAUAGAGGAAAGCAGAAUUUCUAGUGUAGAGGUGAAAUUCGUAGAUAUUAGAAAGAAUACCAAUUGCGAAGGCAGCUUUCUGGAUCAUUACUGACACUGAGGAACGAAAGCAUGGGUAGCGAAGAGGAUUAGAUACCCUCGUAGUCCAUGCCGUAAACGAUGUGUGUUAGACGUUGGAAAUUUAUUUUCAGUGUCGCAGCGAAAGCGAUAAACACACCGCCUGGGGAGUACGACCGCAAGGUUAAAACUCAAAUGAAUUGACGGGGACCCGCACAAGUAGUGGAGCAUGUGGUUUAAUUCGAAGAUACGCGCAGAACCUUACCAACACUUGACAUGUUCGUCGCGACUUUAAGAGAUUAAAGUUUUCGGUUCGGCCGGACGAAACACAGGUGCUGCAUGGCUGUCGUCAGCUCGUGUCGUGAGAUGUUGGGUUAAGUCCCGCAACGAGCGCAACCCUCACUUUUAGUUGCCAUCAUUAAGUUGGGCACUCUGAAAGAACUGCCAGUGAUAAGCUGGAGGAAGGUGGGGAUGACGUCAAGUCCUCAUGGCCCUUACGUGUUGGGCUACACACGUGCUACAAUGGUAUCCACAACAGGAAGCAAAACCGCGAGGUUAAGCAAAUCCUAAAAAGAUACCUCAGUUCGGAUUGCACUCUGCAACUCGAGUGCAUGAAGCUGGAAUUACUAGUAAUCGUGGAUCAGCGUGCCACGGUGAAUGCGUUCCCGGGUCUUGUACACACCGCCCGUCACACCAUGGGAGUUGGUUCUACCUUAAGGCAAGGUUUCAAACCCUUGACCACGGUAUAGUCAGCGACUGGGGUGAAGUCGUAACAAGGUAGCCGUAGGGGAACCUGCGGCUG